GAUGAACGCUGGCGGCGUGCCUAAUACAUGCAAGUCGAGCGAACAGACGAGAGUGCUUGCACUCUCUGACGUUAGCGGCGGACGGGUGAGUAACACGUGGGUAACCUACCUAUAAGACUGGGAUAACUUCGGGAAACUGGAGCUAAUACCGGAUAAUAUUUAGCUUCGCAUGACGCAAUAGUGAUAGACGGUUCUGCUGUCACUUAUAGAUGGACCCGCGGUGUAUUAGCUAGUUGGUGAGGUAACGGCUCACCAAGGCAACGAUACAUAGCCGACCUGAGAGGGUGAUCGGCCACACUGGGACUGAGACACGGCCCAGACUCCGACGGGAGGCAGCAGUAGGGAAUCUUCCGCGAUGGACGAAAGGCUGACGGAGCAAUGCCGCGUGAGGGAAGAAGGUGUUCGGAUCGUAAAACUCUGUUGUAAGGGAAGAACAAGUACGUUAGUAACUGAACGUACCUUGACGGUACCUUACCAGAAAGCCACGGCUAACUACGUG
rnacentral:rRNA from 1 species